rnacentral:ncRNA from 1 species
AACCGCCGUAUGCUUGGAAACUUGCUUGUACGGUGGUGUGGGGGGCUUUAAGGGUAAUAAACGUAAGAAGAAACUCCUUAAUUCUAUCCCAAU